rnacentral:lncRNA from 1 species
CCUUGAGGGUCCAUGAGACUGGGGCAGCAGCAGGGGCAGGUACAGAGCACCUCAGCCGCCUCUCCACCUGACAGCAACAUCAAAGCCGAGGCCAAGGCGGGAGGGCCCAGAGUGAGACACCUCUUCCAGACAAGACUUGGUCGCUGCCUCCUCCUCUGUCACCCUGCGACACAGCCCAGAGUACCAGGCGGCUGGAGCACUGGGGGACACCCGGACAGAACCCUCCCUGGACCAAGUCCUCCAGGAACGGGAUGAAGCCAUUGCCAAGAAGCAGGCGGUGGAGGCGGAGCUGCAGAGAUGCAAAGCCAGGCUACACGCCAUGGAGGCCCAGCUGCUGGAGGUCCUGGAGGAGAAACUGAGGCUGAGGCGGGAGCUGGAGGCCUGGGAGGAGGACGUGCAGCAGCUGGUGUGGCAGCAGGUCCAGAAUCAGCUGCAGAGAGAGGCCAAGGGUACUCGGGGAGCCCACGUGGACCCUGGAGCUGCCAGCACCCCCCGAUCCAGAUUCUCCCUGGGUCGGGGACGUUGGUGGUGACACAGACCUCAGCCCAGGACUUUGGGAGUAGUGUCUUUAUUCAUUAAAGCCUGAGGUCUGACCACCCCUGUAAAACCUCGUGCCCACACAGUGCCUGUCUGAGUCCUUCUGUGCCCAAAUGUGGAGCAGGCUGCAGAGACUUGAAGCCUGGGGUUUUGUGCCUCCUUUUUGUUUUGUUUUUUUUGAGACAGAGUCUUGCUCUGUUGCCUAGGCUGGAGUGUAGUGGUGUGAUCUCGGCUCAUUGCAACCUCUGCCUCCAGGGUUCAAGUGAUUCUCCUGCCUCAGCCUCCAGAGUAGCUGGGAUUACAGGUGUGCACCACCACGCCAGGCUAAUUUUUGUAUUUUUAGUAGAGACAGGGUUUCACCAUGUUGGCCAGGCUGGUCUCCAACUCCUGGCCUCAAGUCAUCCUCCCGCCUUAGCCUCCCAAAGUGCUGGAAUUACAGGCAUGAGCCACCACGCCCGGCCAUCUUCUUGCCAGCAACUCUUAGACCAGGAAGCCUCGGAUGGCAGCUAUGAAGUCCUGUGGGCGGUCAGCGUGGAUCCAGUGGCCAGCGUUCGGCACCGUCUGCAUCUGGGCCCGAGGGAAGAGCCGCAUAAUCUCAGGGUGGUGGCUGGGACUGUGCAUCGCAGCGACGGCCAUCAAAAACGGGUGAAAGUGGGAUGAGGAGGAGUGAAAGAGACACGUGGAAGCAGAACGGGGAGAAAUGGAGAGAGCUGUGUGAGCCCAUAUGCCCGGUGGUAUUUCUGGCCUCUCAGCCACCCCCCUUCCACACCCAAGGCCUCCCCUGGUAGGGUCCCCAGGCUGGGGCCUGGGCGAGUAAAGCAUGCCCCUCCUACUACCCAGGCUAGCUUACUGCACGAACUGGGAGUUUCCACCAAGGAGAAAGAGUGUUGGCCCGAGGUAGGACUCCUGCCUCUGUGGGAAAGCCAAGAUCUUGUCUAGGUGCUGGGUCAGGGCAUCCAAGUUCACCCUCCACACGAAGCGCCCGUCUACCUCUACCAGGUUAGUGAGCAGGUGCUGCCGCACGGCCAUGUCCUGUGGGGGUGCAGCAGUUGGGGGAGGUUCCUUGUGCGGUCUGGGGGUGCCACUCUUCCCUUGACAGGUCCUGGUCUACAAUACCAUCCGGGGCACCUUGGGUGUAUCACCUGGAUGACAGAACUGAGCUGUUCAUCCGCCAGUUUUCGGGCACGGGAGCGGGGCAGCUCAUCUGCGAUGUUGAUGGCCCUCAUGGCUGCCACAUAGGUUGCAAAGUGGGAGACACCUGUGCUUUCCACUGGGCUGAUAUCUACAGCAAUGAGACGUUCCACCAGCUCUGGCUGUGGGAGAGAACCGAACUGGGACCAGUCUUAGGCAGACAUAGGGAGUCUCAGGCAUGGCUCCUGGAGCCUGAACUUGGUCAUCCAACGAUCAUGUGAGUCCCAGGUUGCCUGCAGGGCCCUCAGGGUAUAUACUGAAUGGGAGGAGGCCCCAGACAUGGGCGGCUCACCCUCUGUAGUGCCAGCAGCAUGGCUGUCUUUCCUCCCAUGCUGUGGCCAACGACGACGCAGGGCACCAGGCCCAGCUGGGGCAGAAGGUCCUGCAGGUCCUGGCUCAUGAUCUCGUAGCUCAUGUCUGGGCUGUGGGGGCUGUCACCGUGGUUACGAGCAUCCACCGUCAGCACCUGGGGAGUGGGGUGAGACGGGGCUGCGUUGAUAUCCCCAUUCUGGGGGUAGACAGCCAAAGGCUUGUAGGGACAGCAGGUCAAAGGUGUGGAGAGCCUGGGGAUACACCCUGUGGAGGGGAAGGGCCCAGUUUCCAGACCUAGGAGGCCCAGAUGAAGAACCUGGGGCCACUCUGCCAGAGAAGAGCAGGCCCCAGGGUUGUGACCACGUCUCUGAAGGGCUGGCCUGGCUGGGUGGCAAUCUCGGAGAAUGCCAGGAAGGAGACUCCAGGAAUUUCCAACAGUAGGAGCACAGAAGAAUGGGCUGCCAUAAGAGGUGGUGAGCUCCCGGUCAUCCCUAGUGAACAAGCAGGCCCCUUCAUGGAAAGGGUGCAGGCGCCUAGGCAUGGGCCAGCCCCGAUGGAGAUCUACAACAUGAAUUAAUGAAGAUGGCAACGUGAGGGAAUAAAUGGGGUUGCCGUUCAGGGUCCAUACUCAGAGUGAGGGAUCUGGAAGUGAGCGUGAGAAGCGGGACCCCCCCUGCCCCGCCUCCUCUCAGGCCCCGCCCACUCCCGCCCAGCCCCAAAGGAGCCCCGCCCACUCGAAAGCUCACCCUACGGCCUGUCUGCUGGGCCAAGAUCUUGGCGAUGGAGUUGAAGUUAGUUUUGCUGCCGAAGAGCCCGUGCAAAAAGACGACGGCCGGGAGGGCUGCCUCCCCGUCCAGAAGCCUGUAGGAAAGCGGAAGCGGCCUGGCAGGGGAAGGAUCGAGGUCAGAGUCUGAGCCGGCGGAGACGGGGAAAGGGGUAGGGGGAAAGAGCUUUGGGGGAGAGGCCUGGGAGGUGACAGGCCCAAAGGGAGGAGAUGGGGCCGUCGGGGCCCGGCAGGAAAAGGAGGACAGAGGAUGGCCUCCCGCCCGGUGCCCUUGACUGACCUCGGCUCGGCGCCCCCUCGGCCGCCGCUGCUGCUGCUGGGUGCGACAGGCACCCUCGCGAAGCUAGGGCCGUGGGGGCCGAGUCCCUCACGCGGGAGCCUCCAGGCUCGGGUCCAGCGGAGCAUGCUUGCAAGCUGUUGGCCGGCUCGCAUCUCACAAGGUACGUCCUCCCCGCGCUCCUUCUCCCGCCCUAGCUCGCAGCCCCGCCCAUUUCCGUCUUCAGCCGCCCCGCCCAGUUCCGACUUGAGCCCCGCCCUCUCCCCGCCCCCAUCGCGGGAUUCUCCGCCCUUGGUCCCGUUUCCUUACGUAUCCCCGAGAACAGUCCGGCCCCGCCUCCAUCCCCGCCCCUUACGCCAUUACGUAAUCCCCGCAGGCUUUGCGCGGGUCGCCCUGAGCGCCGCACCUGGCCUCGCCCUAGGCUGGGCAACCCGCGGUGCUUGCCCCUCCCCUCGCGAAGCGCCGCGGUGCGUAGAAUCUGGGAAUUCGGUCUGCGCCGCUCUGUGCGUGCUCGGUUCUGGUUGCAGCUUAGGGCUCGGUUCCCGCCCCGCACCUGCCAUCGCUCACUGACCUGGGUGGCUGCCAUCGUUUCUGUGCCGCCGGCGGGGGCGAGCGGCGCCAGGGUGGCUCUGGGCGGCGGAGUGCCAGUGUGGUGGCGCCGUGCUCCACUGCCGGGGGCCCGGGCAGGUUGGGCGGAGCACGGACACCCACCCAUCCUGGAGUCGUCGAUCUAGAAGGAGCUCGGGGGCACUCUAGAGCUCUUCCCCAAGCCCCUUCGUCCCUUUUACGUUUGGGGAAGGCUCCCCCAGUCUGAUCCCACCUGCUUUUCUGCCCAUACUCCCCAUUCUCAUACUCCCCUAUCAGGCACCCUGCCUUUCAAGGUCUUCUCCACACCCCACCUCCUGCUGGGGUGCUGUCUGUCUUCCAGAUAGCCAGUUGCCCGAGUCCUAUACUUUUUUUUGGUGGGGGUCUUACCCUCGCCCAGGCCGGAGUGCAGUGACGCGACCGUAGCUCACUGCAGCCUCGACCUCCUGGGCUCAAGCGAUCCUCCCGCCUUUGCCUCCCGAGAAUCUGGGACUACAGGCGCAGACUAAUUUUAACAUUUUUUUUUUUUUUUUUUUUUUUACUGAAUCAUGGUUACAAUUUUUUUUUUUAGGCCGGGUGCGGUGGCUCACGCCUGUAAUCCCGGCACUUUGGGAGGCUGAGGUGGGCAGAUCACCUGAGGCCAGGAGUUGGAGACCACCCUGGCCAAUAUGGUGGAACCCCGUCUUUACUAAAAAUACAAAAAUUAGCUGGGCGUGGUGGCGGGUGCCUGUAAUCCCAGCUACUCGGGAGGCUAAGGCAGGAGAGUCGCUUGAACUCAGGAGGCGGAGGUUGCAAUGGGCGGAAAUCAUGCCACUGCACACCAGCCUACCGGACGGAGACAGACUCCGUUUAAAAAAAAAAAAAAUUGCCGUGGGUGGUGGCACGGCCCUGUAAUCCCAGCUACUGGGGAGGCUGAGGCAGGAGAAUCGUGUGAACUUGGGAGAUGGAGGUUGCAGUGAGCCGAGAUCUUGCCACUGCAUUCCAGCCUCAGUGACAGAGCGAGACUCCAUCUCAAAAAAAAAAUUUUUUUUUUAAAAAAUAGAAGCGGGGGCUUGCUAUGUUGCCCAGGCUGGUCUCGAACUCCUGGGCUCAAAGUGCUGAGAUUACAGGCAUGAGCCACCACACCUGGCCCAACAAAAUUUUUUUUAGAGAAGGGGUCUUGCUACCUUGCCCAAGCUGGUCUCCAGCUCCUGGCCUCAAGCGACCUUCCUGUCUCAGGUAUAUGGCUUUUAUUUUAUUUUUUCUGAGACAGGGUUUCACUGCGUCACCCAGGCUGGACUGCAGUGGCACAAUCACGGCUCACUGCAACCUCUUCCCCCUGGGCCCAGGCAAUCUUCCUGCCUCACCCUCCCGAGUAGCUGGGACCACAGAUGUGCACCACCAUGUCUGGCUAAUUUUUUUCUGUUUUGUAGAGAUAGAGUCUUACUAUGUUCUAGGCAUAGCAAGGGGACAGUUUCAGGCUGGUCUGGAACUCCCAGACUCAACUGAUCCUCCUGCCUCAGCCCCCUGAGUAGCUGGAAUUACAGGUGUGCUCCACCAUGCCUGGCCUCAGCUAUAGGCCUUUUAAGGCAUUGUAUAACUGCUGCCUCCUCCUCAAGCCUUCGCAGACUUUCUGAGUUAAAACUAAUCUCUUUCAUGGAAUGUUCUGGAAGCAUUUCUCAGAGGCUACUGUGUAGUAUUAUAGAGGCAGCCCUCCCUGUGUGUCCACAGCGGGAGCUAUGUCUUGUUCAUCUGGUGCAAAGUGGUAAUAGUCAUCAAGAGCUUCAGGGCACUGGUAAAUGCUUAUGUGGAAGUCCUGCGGGUGGCUGGGUUAGUGGCCCUCCCGGAUAUGACACCUGGGCCAGCUAGUCUUACACUGACCCCUCCCCCACCUCCUUAGGGCGGUCCAGGACCUACAGGAUGAGUCCUAACUUUUUUUUUAAAAAAAUAAUUAAUUAAUUAAUUAUUACUAUUAUAUUUUGAGACGGAGUUUUGCUCUUGUUGCCCAGGCUGGAGUGCAAUGGUGCGAUCUUGGCUCACCGCAACCUCUACCUACUGGGUUCAAGCGACUCUCCUGCCUCAGCCUCCCGAGUAGCUGGGAUUACAGGCAUGCGCCACUACGCCGGCUAAUUUUGUAUUUUUAGUAGAGACGGGGUUUCUCCACGUUGGUCAGGCUGGUUCAAACUCCCGACCUCAGGUGAUCUGCCCGCCUCGGCCUCCCAAAAUGCUGGGAUUACAGGUGUGAGCCACUGCGCCUGGCCAUUAAUUUUUUUUUUUUUUUGAGACAGGGUCUGGCUCUGUCAUGGAGGCUGGAACCUGGCUCACUGCAACCUCUGCCUCCCGGGUUCAAGCAGUUCUCAUGCCUCAGUCUCCCGAGUAGCUGGGACUACAGGCGCGCAUCACCACACCUGGCUGAUUUUUUUCUGUUUUUGGCAGAGACAGGAUUUCACCAUGCUGGCCAAGCUGAGGAUGUGUCCUAACUCUGUAAAGCUCCAUCUCCUGCUUAAUGGGACCCUGAGGUGUUUGGUUCCAAUCUGAGGAGGGCUGAGGUCACCGAGGACUCUAAGCACACCAGGUGGUGUGAUCAUGUUUCCCGCAUAGUAAUUAGGGGAGUGAUGAGGACAUCUGAGCCCUGUAUGGGGGCUGGUCCCAGGCCUGGGAGGGGUCCUUGGAGAGUGUUUUUCUAGAGUUGGUGGGUGUUUUUCUAGAGUUGGUGGGUGUUUUUCUAGAGUUGGUGGGUGAAGGGCGUGGGGGUUGAAGAUUCAGAACAAUAGUAUUUCAAAGGUGCUUUUUUUUGUUUGUUUGUUUUGAGAGAGUCUCUCUGUUGCCUAUGCUGGAGUAUAGUGGGACAAUCUCAGCUCACUGCAACCUCUACCUCCCGGGUUCAAGCGAUUCUCUUUUGCAGACUCCCAAGUAGCUGGGAUUACAUGUAUGCGCCACCAUGCCCGGCUAAUUUUUGUAUUUUUAGUAGAGACUGAGUUUCACCGUGUUGGGCAGGCUGAUCUCAAACUCCUGACCUCAGGUGAUCCUCCUGCCUCGACCUCCCAAAGUGCUGGGAUUACAGGCAUGAGCCACUGUGCCUGGCCUCAAAGGUGCUUUCAAAUUGAUCCCUGCCAUACACCCCACCCUCCACCAGGUAAUCUCAGCCUGGCCCAAGAUCCCCACAUCUAGGGGCAGAAGCAGCCUUGAGAUAUUUACUCAGAGUCCUGGGCCCCAGCCCUGAUCAGGUGGCUGAUGAAGGCAAGCAGAAAAACCAGUUGGUUUGAUGUUUCCACUUGAACAUUCCAGAGAAAGUGGUGGGGGCAGGGGAGGGGUCGUUGCUACCUGGGAAUGGAUCUGGGGGUGGUGUCAUCCUGGGGGCUGCCCAGCCCUCUCAGCUUGUUAGGAACAGGCCAGGAAGCGUGCUGUUGGUUGGCGAAGGCCUCCUUCUAGGGGAGGCCAGAGGGGAGGACUUCCGGAGCCCCUGACAUGUGGAGGUGAAGGUGGGAGGUGAAAUGGACUAUCGCUCUUUGGAGGUCGAGUGUACACUGCCCCAUCCGUGUUCCCAGGCUUCCUGUGAAGUGGGAGGGUGCCGUCCUUAUUCUGCUGAUGAGGAAAGAGAGGCUUGGACGGCGAAGUAACCCAGCUCCAGGUCACUCAGCCAGUGCACAGCCCGGAUUGUUUCCUUCACUGACUCCUAACGCAGUGCUCCGUGUAUUUCAUCACCACCCUUCAGGCCGUGGGGACCAAGGGCCGAAGGGGUGCGGCCUGAGGCGGCCGGGACACUGCGCCUAGGUGGCGCGGUGGCAUUGAAUGGGUUAAGGAGGGGAGGUGGCGGGUGUCCCUUAACUGCACCUGGCCCAGUAUCGGUCACGUGGCCAGGGUUUCACCUGCCCCGCUGAGCAGGGACAAUCAGGCUGCUUGUUUUGUGGCCGGUCGCCAUGGUGACAGCAGCUUGCCAGGGGCGGUCAUGGGGCAAAUUCCUGCUGGCCAGCCGGGUGGGGCAGGAGUGUCAGCUGUGCUGGCACCAGUCGGGGCUUCCCGAAAGACCCCUGGAGCUUUCCCGUGGGGCUGUCCCUGGGGGGCCCCUAUGUGACUCCGCUCGAAACCUCCUCCCAUCUCAACCCCCACAUCAGCCCAGCUUCUCUCCUCCCAGAUUUUGAACCUGAGUUGAUGUAUUAAGCAGCCGGGAUUUUCAUAUACGUUAUUGUGUUUAAUCCUCACACAGCAACCUUUCCCAUGUGGGAAUGGUAAUCCCUGCAGGUCUGCUGCCGGCUGCGCCUCCCCUACUACUCACCCAACACUUUGAGAACACUGGCUCCUUCCUGCCUUGCUUCAACAAGCCCAGAUCCAUUAGAGCCUCUCACUGCACGCCAAGCACCUUCCUAGACGCAGCCGUGAACAAAACAACAAAUUAAUCUCACAACAAAGGAUUAUGUCCGAGUAUUUAUUUUCUUCGGAACAGGUUAGGUUGGCCCCAGUCAUCCAGAGAAGGUGGGGACGGUACAGGAUCAGGCCAGGGCUCUGGUAUCCAGAACAUCUCCACAAGCUCUCUCUGCCACCUCCCUGCCUCACCCGCACCUGCUGCCCACCAAGCCUUCCCACGGAUUGUCCACAGAUUCCCACCAGCCCCACAGAUUCUCCUGCUUCCAGUCAUUGCUCCCUCUGCUCCCUAACCUCCAACAGGCCCUGCUGACAGUAACAGUUGUCAAUUUUUUUUUUUGAGAUGGAGUCUCGCUCUGUCACCCAGGCUGGAGUGCAGUGGCACGAUCUUGGCUCACUGCAACCUCCACCUCCCAGGUUCAAGCGAUUCUCCUGCCUUAGUCUUCAGAGUAGCUGGGAUUACCGGCACGCACCACCACGCCCAGCUAUUUUUGUAUUUUUAGUAGAGACAGGGUUUCACCGUAUUGGCCAGGCUGGUCUCGAACUCCUGACCUCAGGUGAUCCACCCGCCUCGGACUCCCAAAGUGCUGGGAUUACAGGCAUGAGCCACUGUGCCCCACUGGUUGUCAACUAUUUUUUUCUGCCUCCUGAUUCUGUGGAAGACCCAGUGUCUCCCAGGAACAGUCUCAUCACAUGUACAGAUUCUUUCUUUUUUCUUUUUUAUUGAGACAGGGUCUGGCUGUUGUUGCCCAGGCUGGUCUCAAACUCCUGGGCUCAAAUGAUCCUCCUGCCUCGGCCUCUCUAAGUGCUGGGAUUACAGAUGUGAUUCUUAAAGUGGCAGGGUGAGGACACCUUCCUUUUUGGAAUGAAUGGAGGAUGGUGAGAGAGUCUGUGUAUUUUGACACCCAGCAACCUCUACCCCACUUGCCUGCAGGAUACAGCUCAGUCUCCUCUGUCUGCAUUUUGGUGUCUUUAUUUUAUUUAUUUAUUUAUUUAUAUAUUUAUUUAUUUAUUUUUAUUAUUAUUUUAUGAGGCAGAGUCUCGCUCUGUCCCCCAGGCUGGAGUGCAGUGGCGCGAUCUCAGCUCACUGCAAGCUCCGCCUCCUGGGUUCACACCAUUCUCCUGCCUCAACCUCCCGAGUAGCUGGGACUACAGGUGCUCACCACCAUGCCUGGCUAAUUUUUUUGUAUUUUUAGUAGAGACGGGGUUUCACCAUGUUAGCCAGGAUGGUUUCGAUCUCCUGACCUUGUGAUCCGCCCGCCUCGGCCUCCCAAAGUGCUGGGAUUACAGGCAUAAGCCACUGCGCCUGGCUUUUAUUUAUUUAUUUUGAGAUGAAGUCUCACUCUGUUGCCCAAGCUGGAGUGCAAUGGCACGAUCUCGGCUCACUGCAACUUCUGCCUACUGGGUUCCAGCAAUUCUCCUGCCUCAGCCUCCUGAGUAGCUGGGACUACAGGCAUGAGCCACCAUGCCCAGCUAAUUUUUGUAUUUUUAGUAGAGAUGGGGUUUCACUAUGUUGGCCAGCCUGGUCUCGAACUCCUGACCUCGUGAUCUGCCUGCCUUGGCCUUCCAAUGUGCCGGGAUUACAGGAGUAAGCCACCGCGCCUGGCCCUGGUGUCUUUAUUUUUUUGAGACGGAGUCUUGCUCUGUUGCCCAGGCUGGAAUGCAGUGGUGCAAUCUCAGCUCAAUGCAAUCUCUGCCUCUCAGAUUCAAAUGAUUCUCUUGCCUCAGCCUCCUAAAUAGCUGGGACCACAGGCAUGCACCACCACACCCAGCUAAUUUUUUUGUAUUUUUAGUAGAGAUGGGGUUUCACCAUGUUGGCCAGGAUGGUCACCAUCUCUUGACCUCGUGAUCCACCUGCCUCGGCCUCCCGAAGUGCUGGGAUUACAGGCAUGAACCACCGCCCCCCACAGGUUCUGUUUAUUUUUAUCCCUUAAAUAGCUCUGAUUCCUUUUUAAAUUUUAUUUAUUUACUUAUUUAUUUAUUUAGAGACAGAGUCUUACUCUGUUGUCCAGGCUGGAGUGCAGUGGUGAAAUCUUGGCUCACUGCAACCUCUACCUCCUGGGUCCAAGUGAUUAUCUCGUGCCUCAGCCUCCCAAGUAACUGGGAUUACAGGUGUGUGCCACCACACCUGGCUAAUUUUAGUAUUUUUAGUAGAGCUGAGGUUUCACCAUGUUGGCCAGGCUGGUCUCGAACUCCUGACCUCAGGUAAUCUGCCUGCCUCUGCUUCCCAAAGUGCUGGGAUUACAGGCGUGAGCCACCACGCCUGGCCUAAUUUUUAAUUUAAUUUUAAUUUUAUUAUUACUUUUUGAGACAGGGUCUCACUCUGUUGCCCAUUUUAAUUUUUUUAUUAUUUUUUGAGACAGAGUCUCACUCUGUUGCCAAGGCUGGAGUGCAGUGGUGCAGUAUUAGCCACUGCAACCUCAACUUCCUGGGCUCAGGUGAUCCUUCCACCACAGUCUCCCCAGUAGCUGGGACCAGAGGCACAUGCCACCUUGCCCGGCUAAUUUUUGUAUUUUUGGUAGAGAUGGGGUUUCGCCAUGUAUCCUAGGCUGGUCUCAAACUCCUGGGCUCAAGCGAGCCUCUGGCCUCAGCCUCCGGAAGUGCUGGGAUUACAGUCCUGAGCCACCGGGCCUGGUCAAGCUCUGAUUUCUAUCCAGCACCCUCCAUUUCUAGGGCCUUAUCUCUCCUCUGCCUUGCCACCUCCUCCUGGACUUGUCCAUUUUGGCCCUUCUAGACAUUUCUGUCCCUGGUCAUCAGCAUGAUCUUUUAACAACGUAAAAUAUGCUUCUAUGUUAAUCAUUUUUCUUGUUUUGUACAUUUUCCUAUUUUUCUGUGUUCUGGGUUCUGGGCUCAUUGCCCCGGGGGAUGCAUACGGCUGGACCUAAGAGUGGAGAAGCUGGUUUAUGUGUUUCAAAAGCUAAAGCCCUUAAGGGAAGGGAAUGCUUCAGCAGAGACAGUAUCUUGGCCAAGAAUGGAAGGAAGGUCUGCCACCUGCUUCUUGGCAGGGUCCCCAGAGAAGAAUGGCUCAUGAGCCUGCCAGGCCGGCAGGACCAUAAGCAGCUUGCAAAAUAUUCCUCUGUUUCCCAGGUUCAGAGCAGACACAGUGCAGCCUGCGGAACUGGAGGGGCUGUUGACACAGGAUGAUGGAUGUCUUGUCAUUGCUGCUAGAGGGCUGGAUGCUGUACAACUCCCUGCAGGCUCCCUCCUCUCUAAGCAAAUCUGGCCCUGUUGAGUAUGCAGGAAUUGUGGCCCAGUCUCAGGAGGACUGAGGUUAAACUUGUUUCCAGGCCGGCUGUGAUGGUCACGUCUGUAAUCCCAGCACUUUGGGAGGCUGAGGCAGGUGGAUCACUUGAGGUCAGGAGUUCGAGACCAGCUUGCCCAACAUGGUGAAACCCCGUCUCUACUAAAAAUACAAAAAUUAGCCAGCGUGGUGGCACCCACCUGUAAUCCCAGCUACUUGGGAGGCUAAGGUAGGAGAAUUGCUUGUAUCUGAGACGUGGAGGUUGCAGUGAGCCGAGAUUGAGUCACUGCACUCCAGCCUGGGUGACAGAGCGAGACUCCAUCUCAAAAAAAAAAAAAAACUUGUUUCCAGCUGCUUCUGCAGAAUAGAGCAUCGAGGAUGGACACUAAGGUGAAUUACAGAAAAUAAUGUCAUUGCACAUUUAAGUUUGUUACUGACAUUCGGUAACUGCUAGAAUGCCAUACAUAUUGGUCCACAACCAACUGACUUUCCUUUUCUUUUUCUUUUCUUUUCUUUUUUUUUUUUUUUGAGACAGAGUCUGGCUCUGUUGCCCAGGCUGGAGUGCAGUGGCAGGAUCUCGGCUCACUGCAACCUCUGCCUCCUGGACUCAAGAGAUCCUCCCACCUCAGCCUCCCAAGUAGCUGGACUACAGGUGCAUGCCACCACACCUGGCUAAUUUUGUUUGUUUGUUUGUUUGAGACCCCAGAACACAGAGCCCAGAAAAACAGGAAAAUGUACAAAAAAACAAAAUAGAUUAAAAUAGAAGCAUAUUUUAUGUUGUUAAAAGAUCAUGCUGAUGACCAGGGAGGGAAAUGUCUGGAGGGGCCAAGAUGGACAAGUCCAGGAGGAGGCAACACAGGAGUCUUGCUCUAUCACCCAGGCUGGAGUGCAGUGGCACGAUCUCAGCUGACUACAGCCUCCGCCUCCCGAAUUCAAGCAAUUCUCCUGCCUCCACCUCCCAAGUAGCUGGGAUUACAGGUGUGUGCCACCACGCCCAGCCUAAUUUUUGUAUUUUUCUGUAGAGACGGGGUUUCACCACAUAACCCGGUUGGUCUCAAACUUCUGAGCUCAAGUGAUUCUCCUGCCUCAGCCUCCCAAAGUGUUUACAGGUGUGAGCCACCGAACCCAGCCUCUUUUUUUUCUUUUUCUUUUUCUUUUUUUUUUUUUUUUUUUUAAAGAGACAGGGUCUUGCAUUGUCAUAUCCAGGCUGGAGUGUGAAGUGCAUUAAAACAAUCAUAGCUCAUUAUAGCCUCCAACUUCCUGGCUCAAGUGAUUCUCCUGCCUUAGCCUCCUAAGUAGCUGGGACUACGGGUGUAUACCACCACACUGGCUAAUUUUACGUAUUUAUUUAUUUUAGUUUUAGAGAUGGGGGUCUCACUAUUUUGCCCAGUCUGGCCUUGAACUCCUGGGCUCAAACAAUCUUCCCUCCUCAGCCUCUGGACUAGAUGGGACUACAGGUGCACACCACCGUGAUUUACAUUUUUAUUUAUUUUCAUUUUUAUUUUUGAGAUGGAGUUUUGCUCUUGUCACCUAGGCUGGAGUGCAAUAGUGCAAUUUCGGCUCACUGCAACCUCCACCUCCUAGGUUCAAGUGAUUCUCCUGCCUCAGCCUCCUGAGUAGCUGGGACUACAAGUGUGAGCCACCAUGCCUGGCUAAUUUUUUGUAUUUUUAGUAGAGAUGGGGUUUCACCAUGUUGGCCAGGCUGAUCUCAAACUCCUGACCUCAAGUGAUCUGCCCACCUUGGCCUCCCAAAGUGCUGGGAUUACAGGCGUGAGCCACCGUGCCCAGCCGAUUUACUUCUUUUGUUUUUUUUGAGAUGGAGCCUCGCUCUGUCUCCCAGGCUGGAGUGCACUGGCGCCAUCUCAGCUCACUGCAACCUCCACCUCCCGGGUUCAAGCAGUUCUCUGCCUCAGUCUCCCAAGUAGCUGGGAUUAUAGGCUCCCGGCUAAUUUUUGUAUUUUUAGUAGAGAUGAGGUUUCACCAUCUUGGCCAGGCUGGUCUUGAACUCCUGAUCUCAUGUGAUCUGUAUGCCUCAGCCUCCCAAAGUACUGGGAUUACAGGCAUGAGCCACCAUGCCCCGCCCGGUUUACAUUUUUGUUUUUUUUUGAGGCGGAGUCUUGCUCUGUCGCCCAGGCUGGAGUGCAGUGGCACCAUCUCAGCUCACUGCAAGCUCCGCCUCCCAGGUUCCCACCAUUCUCCUGCCUCAGCCUCCCGAGUAGCUGGGACUACAGGUGCCCACCACCACACCCGCCUAAUUUUUUGUAGUUUUAGUAGAGACGGGGUUUCACUGUGUUAGCCAGGAUGGCCUCAAUCUCCUGACCUCGUGAUCCACCCUCCUCGGCCUCCCAAAGUGCUGGGAUUACAGGCGUGACCCACCGCACCCAGCCCCGAUUUACACUUUCAAAGGACUAUUUGGCUGUGUAGAAGAAGGUGUGAGGCAGAUUAGAGGGGAAGCAGAGGAGAAGCGGCAAAAUGAGGAAGCUAUUGCAGACAUUCAACUGAGGCAUGAUGGUCACAUGACUGGAAGGUGGCUGUGGAAGUAGGGAAAGAAAGAUAGAUUUGGGAUGAAGACACCAAGGACAGCUCCCAGGUUUCUGGAUUGAACAUGUGGGUGGCGAGUAGUUGUGCUAUUUACUGAGAUGGGGAAGGUGGUUUUGUUUGUUUGUUUUUUUCCACUCUAUAGGGUGCAAGUAAGGAGACUCUAGAAUGUCCACUUGGGACAUUCUAGCAGUUACCGAAUGUCAAUAAAAACUUAGAUGUGCAAUGACAUUAUUUUCUGUAAUUCAUCUUAGCUUUCACCCCAGUGCUGUAGGGGGCCUGCCCCUCCACACCUGUGGGUAUUUCUCGUCAGGUGGGACGAGAGACUGAGAAAAUAAAUAAGACAGAGACAAAGUAGAGAGAAAGAACAGUGGGCCCAGGGGAUCAGCGCUCAGCAUACGGAGGACCCGCACCGGCACUGGUCUCUGAGUUCCCUCAGUAUUUAUUGAUUAGUAUUUUCACUAUCUCGGCAAGGGGAAUGCAGCAGGAGAACAGGGUGAUAGUGGGGAGAAGGUCAGCAGGAAAACGUGAGCAAAGGAAUCUAUGUCACAAAUAAGUUCAAGGGAAGGUACUGUGCCUGGAUGUGUACAUAGGCUAGAUUUAUGCUUCUCUCCACCCAAACAGCUCAGUGUAGUAAAAAAUUACAGCGCAGCAUUGCCGCCAGCAUAUCUUGCCUCCAGCCACAGGGCGGUUUUCUUCUAUCUCAGAAUAGAACAAAUGUACGAUCGGGUUUUACACUGAGACAUUCUGUUUCCAGGGACAAGCAAGAGACAGAGGCCUUCCUCUUAUCUCAACCGCAAGAGGCCUUCCUCUUUUACUAAUCCUCCUCAGCACAGACCCUUUUUUGGGUGUUGGGCUGGGGGACGGUCAGUUCUUUCCCUUCCCACGAGGCCACAUCUCAGGCUGUCUCAGUGGAGGGAAACUUUGGACAAUGCCCAGGCUUUCUUAGGCAGAGGUCCCUGCGGCUUUCCGCAGUGCAUUGUGCCCUUGGUUAAUCGAGACUGGAGAAUGGCGAUGACUUUUACCAAGCAUACUACCUGUAAACAUAUUGUUAACAAGGCACAGCCUGCACAGCCCUAGAUCCCUUAAACCUUGAUGCCAUACAGCACAUGUUUCUGUGAGCACAGGGUCGGGGCUAAAGUUUACGGAUUAACAGCAUCUCAAGGCAAAACAAUUUUCUUAGUACAGAUCAAAAUGGAGUUUCUUAUGUCUUCCUUUUCUACAUAGACACAGUAACAGUCGGAUCUCUCUCUUUUCCCUAUACAAUGCUCUAUAUGUUUGAGAUGCCCCUGAGAUAUUAGAACAGUUAACACUUAUGGAAUGCUUAACAAAUGCCAAGCACUGUUCUUGUUACCAAAACAGCAGGGGUUCAGGCGAGGUCCUGCUGCUUGCCGCACAGAAAGCCAAUCACUGAGACGAUUAUUGCCAAGGAAGAAGGCUUUAAUUGGGUGCUGUGGCUGAGAUGGGAGAUUGGUCUCAAAUCCAUCUCCCUGAUCGACUGAAGUUAGGGUCUUAUAUAGCAGGGAACAAAUGUAACCAUGUAUGGGAAAACAAGAACUUGGGGGAAGGGUAAGGAAGCAAUCAUGAUGAAUGAGGGGCCUGGCAUUUCAUUGUCUAGAUGCCAUGAUCUGGUGAGUUUCAGUUCUUUCAUACUUUUUGAGAGGGCUGAUGGUCAUUUCCUAAAGAAGAAAUUCAGAUCAAGUAAAUGUAAGUUUCAAGCUUUAAGACCAAAAGGGUUGACCCGCACCAUGGCUCAUGCCUGUAAUCCCAGCACUUCGGGAGGCUGAGGCCAGUGGAUCGCUUGAGGUCAGGAGUUUAAGACCAGCCUGGCCAACAUGGUGAAACCCCAUCUCUUCUAAAAAUACAAAAAAUUAGCUGGGCAUGGUGGCGCACGCCUGUAAUCCCUGCUACUCAGGAGGCUGAGGCAGGAGAAUCACUUGAACCCAGGAGGUGGAGGUUGCAGUGAAGCGAGAUCAUGCCACUGCACUGCAGCCUGGGCCAAAAGAGUGAAACUCCAUCUCAAACAAACAAACAAACAAACAAACAAGAAAACAAAGUACUAGGAUUAUAGGCAUGAGCCAACACUGUGUCCGGCUUAUCUAAGAUUUUCAUAGCUAGAGAGAAGUUAAUGCCUGGCUUUGAAGCUUCAAAGGACAGGCUGACUCUUGUUCGGGGUAAUGCAGCUGGUGACUUGAAGUUAAAACCAAUGCUCCUUUGCCAUUCUGAAAAUCCCAGGGCCCUUAAGAAUUACAUUAAAUCGGCCAGGUGCGGUGGCUCACACCUGUAAUCCCAGCACUUUGGGAGGCUGAGGUGGGCAGAUCACCUGAGGUCAGGAGUUCGAGACCAGCCUGACCAAUAUGAUGAAACCCUGUCUCUACUAAAAAUACAAAAAUUAGCCAGGUGUGGUGGCAUAUGCCUGUAAUCCCAGCUACUUGGGAGGCUGGGACAGGAGAAUCGCUUGAACCCAGGAGGCAGUGCCGUGAGCCGAGAUUGCGCCACUGCACUCCAGCCUGGGCAACAAGAACGAAACUCUAUCUCAAAAAAAAAAAAAAAAAAAAAAAAAGAAUUACAUUAAAUCGACUCUGCCUGUGCUCUAGAAAUGGAACAACAAAGCUUAGGUGACUGCACAUCUGUUUACAAGAUGGUUUGCUGAAUAUUUGAAGCCCACUGUUGACACCUCCUGCUCAGAAAAAAGAAAAGAUUCUGUUCAAAAUAGUAUUGCUUAUUGACAAUGCACCUGGUCACCCAAGAGCUCUGCUGAAGAUGUACAAAGAGAUUAAUGUUGUUUUCAUGGCUGCAAAUAAAACAUCCAUUCUGCUGUUCAUGGAUCAAGGAGCAAUUUAGACUUUUAAGUCUUAUUAUUUAAGAAAUACAUUUUGUGAGGCUGUAGCUGCCAUAGAUAGUGAUUCCUCUGAUGGAUCUGGGCAAGGUAAAUUGAAAACCUCCUGGAAAGAAUUCGCCAUUCUGGAAGCCAUUAAGAACAUUCAGGGUUCAUGGGAGGAGGUGACAAUAUCCACAUUAGCAGGAGUUUAGAAGAAGUGAAUUCCACCCUCAUGGAUAAGUUUGAGGGAUUCAAGACUUCAGUGGAGGAAGGAAUUGCAGAUGUGGUGGAAAUAACAAAAGAACUAGGAUUAGAAGCCAAGCGUGAAGAUGGGACUGAAUUGCUACAAUCUCAUGAUCAAACUUGAAAAGAUGAUGAGUUGCUUCUUUGUUACGUCUUGGUGUUUUUUGAGACAGAGUCUCGCUCUGUUGCCCAGGCUGGAGUGCAGUGGUGUGAUCUUGACUCACUGUAACCUCCGCCUCGUGGGUUCAAGAGAUCCUCAUGCCUCAGCCUCCUGAGUAGCUGGGAUCACAGCUGUGCACCACCACACCCUGCUACUUUUUGUAUUUUUUUUUUUUUUUUUAGAGAGGGGCUUCGCCUUAUUGGCUAGCCUGGUCUUGAACUCCUGGUCUCAAGUGAUCUGCCUGCCUUGGCCUCCCAAAGUGUUGGGAUUACAGGCAUGAGCCACUGUGCCUGGCAAGGGGUUGCUUCUUAUGAUGAGCAAAGAAAGCGGUUUCUUUUUUUUUUUUUUUGGAGACGGAGUCUUGCUCUGUCACCCAGGCUGGAGUGCAAUGGUGCCGUCUGGGCUCACUGCAAUCUCUGUCUCCUGGGUUCAAGCGAUUCUCCUGCCUCAGCCUCCCAAGUAGCUGGGACUACAGGCACGUGCCAGCAUGCCCAGCUAAUUUUUGUAUUUUUAGUAGAGACAGGGUUUCACCAUGUUGGCCAGGCUGGUCUCAAACUCCUGACCUCAAGUGAUCCACCUGCCUCAGCCUCCCAAAUUGCUGGCAUUACAGGCGUGAGCCACCGCGCCCAGCCAGAAAGUGGUUUCUUGAGAUGGAAACUACUCCUGGUGAAGAUUGUGUGAACACUGUUGAAAUGACAACAAAGGAUUUAUAAUAUCCUAUAAACUUGGUUGAUCAGCCAUCUAAGUUUUAUAGUUUUAGAUCUUAUAUUUAGGUCUUUGAUCCAUUUUGAGUAAAUUUUUUUAUAUGGUGUUAAGGAACCAACUUCAUUUUUUUGCAUGCAAAUAUCCAGUUUUCCCAGCAUUAUCUGUGAAAAGAUUGCCCAUUCCUCACUGAGUGGUUUUGGUAUCCUUAUUGAAAAUUAUUUGACUUCAUAUAUGAGUGUUUAUUUCUGAGCUUUUUAUUCUAUUCCAUUGGUCUAUAUGUCUGUCUUCAUGCCAGUACCACUGUUUUGAUUACUGUAGCUUUGUAGUAAGUUUUGAAAGCAGAAAGUAUGAGUCCUCCAACUUUGUUCUUUUUUUUUCUGAGACAGAGUCUCACUCUGUCACCCAGGUUGGAGUGCAGUGGUGCAAUCUCAGCUCACUGCAACCGCCACCUCCCAAGUUCAAACAAUUCUUGUUCCUCAGCCUUCUGAGUAGCUGGGAUUACAGGCUCGCACCACCAUGCCUGGCUAAUUUUUGUAUUUUUAGUAGAGACGGUGUUUCACCAUGUUGGCCAGGCUGGUCUUGAGCUCCUGACCUCAGGUGAUCCGCCUGCCUCGACCUCCCAAAGUGCCGGGAUUACAGGCAUGAGCCACCGCGCCUGGCCUCUUACUGUUUCUGGAUAUGAAUUUCCUGCUUCAAUCAGGUCAGCCUCUGCUCACUCUUGUGCAUAUCAUUUUUCUGCCUUGUGCAUAUCAUUUUUCUCCUUGCUGUUGCCCAUCAGUGAAUCCUGCUUGGGAAGGCUUCCCCUCUUAGCUCUGCCCAUCUCAAACUUACUUAUUUAAGACUCAGAAGCAUACUUAUAGGUUGGGCAUGGUGGCUCACGCUUGUAAUUCCAGCAUUUUGGGAGGGUGAGGUGGGCGGAUCACUUGAGCCCAGGAGUUCCAGACCAGCCUGGGCAAUAUGACAAAACCCUGUCUCUAUUUAAAAAAAGAAAUUUAGGCCGGGCGCAGUGGUUCAUGCCUAUAAUCCGAGCACUUUGGGAGGCCGAGGUGGGCGGAUCACAAGGUCAGGAGAUCGAGACCAUCCUGGCUAACAUGGUGAAACCCCGUCUCUGCUAAAAAUACAACAACAACAAAAAAUUAGCCGGGUGUGGUGGCAGGCACCUGUAGUCCCAGAUACUUGGGAGGCUGAGGCAGGAGGAUAGCAUGAACCCGGGAGGCAGAGCUUGCAGUGAGCUGAGAUGGCGCCACUGCACUCCAGCCUGGGCAACCAAGCGAGACUCCAUCUCAAAAAAAAAAAAAAAAAAAAAAAAAAAAGAAAUGUAAUUAAAAAACAACAACAACAACAACCAGCCCUGCAGCACUAUUCACAAUAGCAAAGGCAUGGAAUCAACCUAAAUGCCCAUCAGUGAUAGACUGGAUAAAGAAAAUGUGGUACAUAUACACCAUGGAGUACUAUGCAGCUAUAAAAAAGAAUGAGAACGUGUCUUUUUCAGGAACAUGGAUGGAGCUUGAGGCUGUUAUCCUUAGCAAACUAACACAGGAGCAGAAAACCAAAUAGCGUAUGUUCCUGCUUAUAAGUGGGAGCUAAAUGAUAAGAACUUAUGAACACAAAGAGGGAAACAACAGACACUGGUGUCUACUUGAGGGUGAGGGUGGGAGGAGGGAGAGGAGCAGAAAAGAUCACUAUUGGGUACUGGGCUUACUUGGGUGACAAAAUAAUCUGUUCAACAAACUCCUGUGACACGUGUUUACCUAUGUAAGAAACCUUCAUAUGUAUCCCCAAACCUAAAAUAAAAGUUAAUUAAAAAACCCAACCAAACCAAAAACCGGCCAGGCGUGGUGGCUCACGGCUGUAAUCCCCACACUUUGGGAGGCCAAGGUGGGCAGAUCACUUGAGGUUAGGAGUUUGAGAGCAGAUGGGCCAACAUGAUGAUACACCAUCUCUACUAAAAAUACAAAAAGUUUGGCUGGGGAUGGUGGCUCACGCCUCUAACCCCAGCACUUUGGGAGGCCAAGCCAGGAGGAUCACCUGAGGUCAGGAGUUCGAGACUGGCCUGGCCAACAUGGCAAAACACUGUCUCUACUAAAAUUACAAAAAUUAGGCGUGCUGGUGGGUGCCUGUAAUCAUAGCUACUUGGGAGGCUGAGGCAGCAGAAUUGCUUGAAUCCGGUAGGUGGAGGUUGCAGUGAACCGAGAUCGUGCCAUUGUACUCCAGCCUGGGCGACAAGAGGUAAACUCUGUCUCAGAAAAACCCCCAAAGUUAGCUGGGCAUGGGGGUGGGUGCCUGUAAUCCCAGCUACUUGAGAGGCUGAAGCGGGAGAAUUCCUUAAACCCGGGAGGCGGAGGUUACAGUGAGCUGAGAUCGCACCACUGCAUCCUAGCCUGGGCCAGAGAGCGAGACCCCGUCUCAAAGAAAACAAUAACAACAACAAAAAACUAAAAAACCAAAACCAAAACAAAAAAACCCUACUUAUUCAAGGCUGUCUAUGAAGUCUUUUUAGACUGUUAUACCCCUCUAUGACCUUUGAACUCUUCUGGACCCAAUCUGCUAUUCCUUGAUUGCACAUAAGACAUAAUUAAUUUAUUUUCCAAACUGCAUGAUGGGCGCGGGCCUUGUCUUCCCUUUACAGAGCAUCAGCUCUGAGCAGGGCAUUCUGCUAGGCUCAGGGCAUACUGAGGAUGACAAGAUGCUUAGGGGUUGCUCCCUGACAGAGCAUGGUCUGGGGGUAGAGGAAAGAUAAGCUAAGAGGUGAUUCUGGACCAGUGUAACAAAUAGCAUCGAAUGGUCAUGGUUGCGGGAUGCACAGGAGUCAGGGAACCGUUCUCAACUGAGAUGUGAAAUGACCUCUUUUUUUUUUUUUUUUCUUUUUUGAGAUCGAGUCUCACUUUGUCACCCAGGCAGUGCAGUAGUGCAAUCUCGGCUCACUGCAACCUCCGCCUCCCGGGUUCAAGCAGUUCUCCUCCUCAGCCUCCCGAGUAGCUGGGAUUACAGGCGCCCGCCACCACGCCUGGCUAAUUUUUUUGUAUUUUUAGUAGAGAUGGGGUUUUACCAUGUUGGCCAGGCUGGUCUCGAACUCCUGGCCUCAAGUGAUCCACCUGCUUUGGCCUUCCAAAGUGCAGGGAUUACAGGCGUGAGCCACUGUACCCGGCUGAAUGAUUUCUCUCUUUCUUUUUUUUUUUUUUCCCUGAGCAAUCUUGCUCUCUUGCCCGGGUACAGAGCAGUGGCACGAUUAUAGCUCACUGCAGUCUUGACCUUAUAUGCUCAAGUGAUCCUCUCACUUCAGCCUCCCAAAUAGCUAGGACUAUAGGCAUGUGCCACCAUGCCUGGUUAAUUUUUAACAUUUUUUGUAGAGAUGGGGGUCUUGCUAUGUUGCCCUGGCUGGUCUCAAGUGAUCAACUUCUGGGCUCAAAGUGAUCCUCCCACCUUGGCCCCCCAAAGCGCUUGUAUUACAGGCAUGAACCACCAGGCCUAGGCUAUAAAGUGAUCUCUAAGCUUGGCAAGUAGAGUGGGGUAAGAUUGGAUAAACUGCCAAGAAGAGAGAACUUGUGGCCAGGCAUGAUGGCUCAUGCCUGUAAUCCCAGCACUUUGGGAGGCCGAGGCGGGAGGAUCACCUGAGGUCAGGAGUUUGAGACCAGCCUGGCCAAUAUGGUGAAACCCCACUUCUACUAAAAAUACAAAAUUUAGCCAGAUGCAGUGGCACGUGCCUAUAAUCCCAGCUACUCAGGAGGCUGAGGCUGGAGAAUUGCUUGAACCCAGGAGUGAGCUGAGAUUGUGCCACUGCACUCCAGCCUAGGUGACAGAGCAAGACUCUGUCUCAAAAAAAAGAAGAGAGGGCCGGGCAUGGUGGCUUACACCUGUAAUCCCAGCACUUUGGGAGGCUGAGACGGGCGGAUCAUCUGAGGUCAGGAGUUCGAGACCAGCCUGGCCAACAUGCUGAAACCCCUGUCUCUACUAAAAAAAUACAAAAAUUAGCCGGGCGUGGUGGCAUGUGCCUGUAAUCCCAGCUACUCAGGACGCUGAGGCUGGAAAAUCACUUGAACCCAAGAGGCAGAGGUUGCAGUGGGCUGAGAACGUGCCACUGUACUCCAGCCUGGGCAACAGAGCAAAACUCUUUUCUCUAGAGACGAAGAAGAGAGAACUUGUGCUGAAGCCUAUGGUCCAGAGAGUGCAGGGAGAGUGCAGGGUUUUUGAGGAGAGAAAGGAUGUCGAGUGGGGUUGAGCUUGGUGGCUGGGAUGUGGAAGGGCAGUUUGGGGAGCACAGGUGGAAACAGAGAGGCGAGCAUGGCCUGUGCUCACAGGGGCUCCUAAGGCAUGGCAUGAAGUCUGAGUGGGAUCUGGAGGGCCAUCUGGGGGUAGAGGGCCUGAAGGAUUUUAAGUAGGGGAAUGACAUGGUCAGACUCAGGAUUGCACUGCGACUAAUGGCUUGGAAAGGGGCAUAGCUAGGUUGGGAGUGUAGGGAGGGAGCCUGGGGACCAGAAACCCUCUCCAGGCUGUUACAGAAAGAGGGUGGUGUCCUGGCUGAAGUUGCGGCGGUGCGAGUGGAGAAUAGAGGUCGAUGCAUCCAGACAUAAAGAGAAGGUUGACAGUUUAGGGACUGGUUAUUUUAUUUUAUUUUUUUUUGAGACUGAGUCUUGCUCCGUCGCCCAGGCUGGAGUGCAGUGGCGUUAUCUUGGCUCACUGCAAUCUCUGCCUCCUGGUUUCAAGCGAUUCUCCUGCCUCAGCCUCCCAAGUAGCUGGAAUUAUAGGCGUGUGCCACCACGCCCAGCUAAUUUUUGUAUUUUUAGUAGAGACAGGGUUUCACUAUGUUGGUCAGGCUGGUCUCGAACUCCCGACCUCAGGUGAUCCACCCGCGUCGGCCUCCCAAAGUGCUGGGAUUACAGGGUGAGCCACCGCGCCUGGCACCACCUUUUUUUUUUUUUUUUUAAAUUUUGGAGACAGAGUCUCGCUCUGUCGCCCAAGCUGGAGUUCAAUGGCGUGAUCACGGCUUACUGCAGCCUCGACCUCCUGGGCUCAAACAAUCCUCCCACCUCAGCCUCCUGAGUAGCUGGGACUACAGGCAUGCACCAACACAUCUGGCUAAUUUUUGCAUUUUUUAUAGAGACAGGGUGUUGCUUUGUUGCCCGGGCUGGUCUUGAACUCCUGGCCUCAAGUGAUCCUCCCAUCUCUGCUUCCCAAAGUGCCAGGAUUGCAAGCGUGAGCCACUGCACCUGGCCAAUACCCCUUCUUUUAUAGUUAUGAGCUAGAGGCAGCAAGUGACUUGGUCAAGGUCCCACAGUGGGCACCUGACACCCAUGCUCUUGCUCUCUCCUGGCUCUGCAGAGCAUUCUUGUCUCAGCAUGGGUGACCUUUCGGGCAAUCCUGGUAUGGGAGGGGGAAGGAAGGUACUAUCUGUUCUUCCAGGCCAGCCACAGACCUUGAGGGAGCCACAAUAAACGCUGUGUUUGUUUGAUAAAGCAGUUGGCUUUUGGUCUGGCAGGAGGAAGAGCUGGAACAGGUGUGGCAAGAGCGGGCAGCCUGCAGCACCUCUGUGGGAGAUGGGUGAGACAGCCCCAGGGCCUGGCAGGGGGCUCCAGGGCUGUGAGUUUUGAAGAAACCUAGGGACUUUCUCAGCCAUCUCUCUCAUGUGGCACCACCCCAGGGCCUGGCAGGGGGCUUUGUGGGUGUGGAGUUUGAAGAAACCUAGGGACUUUCUCACAACCUAGCCAUCCCCCACGCGUGGCCACCUCUCUCAUGUGGCACCACCCCAGGGCCUGGCAGCGCGCUCCAGGGCUGUGGAGUUUGAAAAUCCCAGGGACAGCCAGGCACGGUGGCUCACGCCUGUAAUCCCAGCACUUUGGAAGGCCGAGGUGGGCAGAUCACCUGAGGUCAGGAGUUCAAGACCAUCCUGGCAAACAUGAUGAAACCCUGUCCCUACUAAAAAUACAAAAAUUAGCUGGGUGCAGUGGCAGGCACCUGUAAUCCCAGCUACUUGGGGGGCUGAGGCAGGAGAAUCGCUUGAACCCGGGAGGCGGAGGUUGCAGUGAGUGGAGAUUGCGCCAUUGCACUCCAGUCUGGGUGACAGAACGAGAUUCUAUCUCAAAAAAAGAAAAAAAAGGCCGGGCGCAGUGGCUCACGCCUGUAAUCCCAGCACUUUGGGAGGCCAAGGUGGGCGGAUCACGAGGUCAGGAGAUCGAGACCAUCCUGGCUAACAUGGUGACACCCCGUCUCUACUAAAAAAAUACAAACAAUUAGCCAGGCGUGGUGGUGGGCGCCUGUAGAACCAGCUACUCGGGAGGCUGAGGCAGGAGAAUGGUGUGAACCUGGGAGGCAGAGCUUGCAGUGAGCUGAGAUCGCGUCACUGCACUCCAGCCUGGGCGACAGAGCAAGACUCCGUCUAAAAAAUAAAUAAAAACAAAAACAAAAACAAAACAGAAAAUCCCAGGGACUUUCUCACCAUCCACCCAACACUCUCAUGUUCCCAGGCCCCUGCCUGACGGAAUACACCAAAAUUUUUUUUUUUUUCUGAGAUGGAGUCUCACUCCCUCGUCCAGGGUGGAGUGCAGUGGUGUGAUCUCGGCUCACUGCAACCUCCGCCUUCUGGGUUCAAGAAAUUCUCCUGCCUCAGUCUCCCAAGUAGCUGAGAUUAUAGUUGUAAGCCACUGCACCUGGCUGUGAGCCACCACGCCCAGCCCAAAAUCUUAACAAUACAAACUCACAUUAAUUGAACUCCUACUGUAUACAUAGCACUAUGCCAUGUGCUUUUCGUGCAGACAGGCAUGCCUUCAUUCCACAGAUAUUUCUGACCAGCCUCCUUGUGCCAGCCCUCUCUGGGUGCUACAGACAGAGAGAAACAGCUCAAGACACUGUCCGUGACCUUGGGAGAUGACUUUCUGGUAGAGAAGUCUAACAAGAAACAAAACAACAAUUGGCCAGGCUUGGUCACUCACACCUGUAAUCCCAGCAUUUUGGGAGGCUGAGGCAGGCAGAUCACUUGAGGCCAGGAGUUCGAGACCAGCCUGGCCAACAUAGCGAAAUCCCAUCUCUACUAAAAAUACAAAUUAUUAUCUGGGCACGGUGGCUGACACCUGUAAUCCCAGCUGCUUGGGAGGCUAAGGCAGGAGAAUCGCUUGAACCUGGGAGGUGGAGGUUGCAGAGUGAGACUCUGUCCCAAAAAAAGAAAAGAAAAGAAAGGGCCAAGCGCAGUGGCUCACGCCUAUAAUCCCAGCACUUUGGGAGGCUGAGGUGGGCGGAUCACAAGGUCAGGAGUUUGAGACCAGCCUGGCCAAUAUGGUGAAACCCCGUCUCUACUAAAAAUACAAAAAUUAGCCAGGCGUGGUGGCACGUACCUGUAGUCCCAGCUACUCAGGAGGCUGAGGCAGAAGAAUCGCUUGAACCCUGGCGCUGGAGGUUGCAGUGAGCUGAGAUCGAGCCACUGUACUCCAGCCUGGGCGACAGAGCGAGACUCUGUCUAAAAAACAAAAAAGAAACAAAACAAUAUACAGGGACAUAGUAGGUGCUGUGACAAGGUGACAAUAGGCUACAUGGGAACCCAAAGGAUGGCCCAGUUAAGCCUCAACACAGCCCAGUGUUAUUAUCAUACCCAUUUUGUAGAUGAGGAAACUGAGGUUCAAAGGAGUAAACUCCACUGUUUACCUGGUCAGUUUGGUUUUGGCCAAUUUUCCUCUGCAGGGAGUAAGGAUAAAGAUGGGGAUGGAAAAGACAAGUUAGAGGGGCUCUCAUGGAUCAGCCAGUUUCAGCCUCUUUGUUGAAAUGAUGGGGAAACUGCUGGGUGUGGUGGCUCAUGCCUGUAAUCCCAGCACUUUGGGAGGCAGAGGCGGGAGGAUCACUUGAGGCCAGGAGUUUAAGACCAGCCUGGGCAACAUAGCGAGACCUCAUCUCUAUUGAAAAAAAAAAAAAUUAGCCGGGUGUGGUGGCACCCGCCUGUGGUCCCAGCCAGUUGGAAGGCUAAGGUGAGAGGAUCGCCAGAGCCCAGGAGGUAGAGGCUGUAGUGAGCCAUAAUCAUGUCAUUGUGCUCCAGCCUGGGCAAUGGAGUGAGACCCUGUCUCAAAAACAACAGCGACAACAACAAAAAAGAAAUGAUGGGAGGUUGGGUGCGGUGGCUCACACCUGUAAUCCCAGCACUUUGGGAGGCUGAGGUGGGAGGAUCACUUGAGGUCAGGAGUUUGAGACCAGCCUGGCCAACAUGGUGAAACUCCAUCUCUACUAAAAAUACAAAAAAUUAGCCAGGUGUGGUGGUACAUGCCUGUAAUUCCAGCUACUUGGGAGGCUGAGGCACGAGAAUUGCUUGGACCUGGGAGACGGAGGUUGCAGUGAGCCGAGAUCGCGCCAUAGCACUCCAGCCUGAGCAACAGAGUGAGAUUCUGUCUCAAAAAAAAAAAAAAAAAAAAGAUGGGGAAACAGACCUGGAAGGGGAAGGGAUUUUCUUGGAGCCACACAGGAAAGCAGUGGCCAGGCUGCACCUAGAGUGAUCAGGUUUUCUGACUCCCGCCUGGGGUGUGUUUCCUGAUGCCAAAUGCCUUUCUCUUCUCUGGCUGUUGGAAGAUUUCCUGGAACCCUUUACCUGGGACCCUGCUCAGCUGUGGUCUCUGUGUUACCAGCUCCGCCACCUCCGCUUAGGCCUUAGACUCCAGAAAGGAUAAAAAAAAGAAGUUAGGAUGGACCUGAAGCCAGACACAGAUGUGUGUGCACAUGGGGGAAGCUGUAGGAUGGAGUAGGAUACCUCCCUUCCCCCAUCCCUCCCCCAGGAGGCCCCAGGGGUGCCCAGGUGUUGGGAGAGACAAGGGGAGACUCUGAAGCCUGGGAGCCCUGCCAUUGGGGAUUGGAUCUGUCUCCCUUCUCUGCCACAUCCCCCUGGCUUGGGGUUGCUGGGGUGGGCUAAGGAGGCAGGCGAGACCUGGGCCUCACAGUGUAGCCAGGAGGGAUGGCGUCCAGGCUGCUCUCUUGAAGCUGCUGGUAAAUGAAUAACCCUGCCCCUGCCUCCAUGGCUCCCCGGCUCUCCUGGCCAGGGACUGCUGGGGGUGGAGGCAGAUGCAACCCCUUGGUCCUCUGCCCAUGCCUGCAAAUCCCAUCCCAGACAGACCCAGAGAAACCUCCUCUCGGUUCCCUCCAUCUCCUUUCCCUAAGCCCCUUCAUUGUCUAAGGCGACCUCCUUCUCCCAUCCUUUCCUCUCACUAAGCCCGGCCCCUUCACUGAGCCCCCUCCAAUCUCUAAGCCCCCUUCCCUCUUGGAGCCCUUCCCCUUGCUGAGCCCCACCCCUUUUCCAGUCCCAUCCUUUCAUCCUCAUCCCCUCCCUCCCUCUCUUUCUUUCCCUCUCUUUCCCUCCCUUCUACCCUCCCUCCCUCUAUCUCUUCCUCUUCCUCCCUCCCUCUUUCCCUCCCUUUCUUUCUUUCCUUUCCUUCCUUCCUUUUUUUUCUUUUUUCUUUGUCUUUCCUCCCUUUCUUUCUUUCCCCUUCUUUCGUUCUUUCUCUUUCUCUUUCUUCCUUUCCUCUUUCUCUCUCUUUUCCUCCUUCCCUUUCUCCUUUCCUUUCUCCCUUCCUCUCUUUCUCUUCUUUCUUUCUCUUUCUCUCCCUCCCCCAUCUUUCUUUUUCUCUCUUUCUUUUCCUUUCCUUCCUCUCUCUCUCACUUUCACUCUCUUCUCUCUUGCCCCCCCCUUCUCUCUCCUCUCUCUCUCCCAUCCUUCUCUCUUUCUCCUUUUUCUUUUUGAGAUGGAAUUUUGCUCUUGUUGCCAGGCUGGAGUGCAAUGGCUUGGUCUCGGCUCACUGCAACCUCUGCCUCCCAGAUUCAAGCAAUUCUCCUGCCUCAGCCUCCCGAGUAGCUGGGAUUACAGAUGCCCGCCACCACACCUGGCUGAUUUUUGUAUUUUUAGUAGGACGAGGUUUCACCAUGUUGGCCAGGCUGGUCUCGAACUCCUGACCUCAGGUGAUCCGCCCGCCUCGGCCUCCCAAAGUGCUGGGAUUACAUGUGUGAGCCACCGUACCCGGCUGUCCCCUCCCUUCCCCUCCCCUCUCCUUUCCUUUUUUUGUCUUGCUGUGCCGCCCGCCUCGGCCUCCCAAAGUGCUGGGAUUAUAGGUGUGAGCCACCAUACGCUUGACCUUUUUUUUUUUUUUUUUUUUGAGCCAGAGUUUCUCUCUUGUCGCCCAGGCUGGAGUGCAGUGGUUCGAUCUUGGCUCAUUCAACCUCUCCCUCCUGGGUUCAAACGAUUCUCUUGCCUCAGCCUCUGGAGUAGCUGAGAUUAUAGGUGCCAGCCACCACACCUGGCUAAAUUUUUUUUUUUUUUUGAGACGGAGUCUCGUUCUGUCGCCCAGGCUGGAGUGCAGUGGUGCGAUCUCGGCUCAUUACAAGCUCUGCCUCCCGGGUUCACGCCAUUCUCCUGCCUCAACCUCCCGAGUAGCUGGGACUACAGGCACCCGCCACCACACCCAGCUAAUUUUUUGUAUUUUUAGUAGAGACGGGGUUUCACCGCGUUAGCUAGGAUGGUCUCGAUCUCCUGACCUCGUGAUCUGCCUGCCUCCCCCUCCCAAAGUGCUGGGAUUACAAGCGUGAGCCACCGUGCCCAGCCAAUUUUUUGUAUUUUUAGUAGAGACAGCGUUUCACCAUGUUGGCCAGGCUGGUCUCGAACUCCUGACCUCAGGUGAUCCACCUGCAUUGGCAUCUCAAAGCGUUGGGAUUACAUGCAUGAGCCACUGCACCCAGCCUUCCUUGCUAUUAAUAGUAACCCACUUUCUCUUCCUUGGGUCAUUAGGGGUGACUAUACGUUGGUGUUUCUUAACUGGAAGGGAAUUUUUCUGGAGUUAACUGGAACGUUCUACCAUGAAAUCUAGGCUGUGCAUGGUGGCUUAUGCCUGUUAUCCCAGUACUUUCAGAGGCCGAAGCUGGAGGAUCCCUUGAGCCCAGGGAUUUGAAAGGGGCCUGGGCGACAUGGUGAGACCCCGUUUCUACAAAAAAUACAAAAAAUUAGCCAGAUGUGGUGGCUCAUGCCUGUAAUCCCAGCACUUUGGGAGGCCGAGGCGGGUGGAUGACCUGAGGUCAGGAGUUCGAGACCAGCCUGGCCAACAUGGUGAAACCCCGUCUCUCCUAAAAAUACAAAAAUAUUAGCCAGGCAUGGUGGUGGGCACCUGUAAUCCUAGCUACUUGGGAGGCUGAGGCAGGAGAAUUGCUUGAACCCGGGAGGUGGAGGUUGCAGUGAGCCAAGAUCCCGACAUUGUACUCCAGCCUGGGUGACAAGAGCAAGAUCGUCUCAUUAAAAAAAAAAAAAAAAAAAAUUAGCUGGACAUGGUGGUGUGUGCCUGUAGUCCCAGCUAGCUGCCACAGGGAUCUUUUGCCCUUUUUGCUUUAGCUUUGCUGCAGCCAAAAACAUUUUUUUGUAUUUUUUUAAAUUAUUUGUUUAUUUAUUUAUUUAUUUAUUUUUUUGAGGCAGGGUUUUGCUCUGUCACCCAGGCUGGAUGGAGUGCAGUGGCGUGAUCAUGUCUCACUGCAGCCUUGACCUCUCUAGGCUGAGGUGAUCCUCCAACGUCAGCCUCCAGAGUAGCUGAAACUGUAGGCAUAUGCCACCACACUCGGCUGAUUUUUUUUUUCUUUUUUUUUUUGAGAUGGAGUCUCACUGUCUCCCAAGCUGGAGUGCAGUGGUGCGAUCUCGGCUCACUGCAACCUCCGCAUCCCGGGUUCUAGCGAUUCUCCUGCGUCAGCCUCCCGAUUAGUUGGGAUUGCAGGUGCCUGCCACCACGCCCAGCUAAUUUUUGUAUGCUUUGUAGAGAUGGGGUUUUGCUAUGUUGCCCAGGCUGUGUUUGUGUUUGUGUUUUUAGAGACAGCCUGUCACUCAGGCUGGAGUGCAGUGGUGAAAUCAUAGCUUGCUGUAGCCUCGAACUCCUUGGCUCAAGUGAUCCUCCCAUCUCAGCCUCCCGUGUAACUGGGACUACAGGCAUGCACCACCAUGCCUGGCUAACUUUUAAAUUUUUUUGUAGAGAUGGGGUCCUUGCUAUAUUGUCCAGGCUGGUCUCAAUCUCCUGGCCUCAAAUGAUCCUCCCACCUUGGCCUCCCAAGGUGCUAGGAUUACAGACAUGAGCCAUCAUGCCCAGUAUCCAAAACAUUUGAGAUACAAUAAUUUAGAAAAAAAAAAGGCCAGCUGGGUAUGGUGGCUCACGCCUGUAAUCCCAGCACUUUGGGAGGCUGAGGCAGGCGGAUCACCUGAGGUCGGGAGUUUGAGACCAACCUGACCAACAUGGAGAAACCCUGUCUCUACUAAAAAUACAAAAUUAGUCAGGCAUGGUGGCAUAUGCCCGUAAUUCCAGCUACUUGGGAGGCUGAGGCAGGAGAAUCGCUUGAACCUGGGAGGCGGAGGUUGCGGUGAGCCGAGAUUUCGCCAUUGCACUCCAGCCUGCACUCUGUCUCAAAAAAAAAAAAAAAAAAAAAAAAUUGGGCCAGGCGCAGUGGCUCACGCCUGUACUAUAAUCCCAGCACUUUGGGAGCCCAGGCAGGCAGAUCACCUGAGAUCAGGAGUUUGAUGCCAGCCUGGCCAAUGUGGUGAAAUCCCGUCUCUACUACUAAUACAAAAAAUGAGCCAGGUGUGGUGGCACACACCUAUAACCCCAGCUACUUGGGAGGCUGAGGCAGGAGAAUUGCUUGAACCCAGGAGGUGGAGGUUGCAGUGAGCCCAGAUCACGCCACUGCACUCCAGCCUGGGUGAUGGAGUGAGACUCUGUCUAAAAAAAAAAAAAAUUUCAAGUCUCCCCAGUGCCCAAAUACAUGUGCAACCCUCGUUUCCCUUCAAGUUGCUGGCUCGACCUACAAGUCCCUUUCUUUUCUUUUUUUUUGAGACAGAGUCUCGCUCUGCUGCCCAGGCUGGAGUGCAGCGGUGAGAUGUCAGCUCACUGCAACCAGUUCAUCAUGUUGGCAGGGCUGGUCUUGAACUCCUGACAUCAGGUGAUCCUCCCGUCUUGGCCUCCCAAAGUGCAGGGAUUACAAGCGUGAGCCACUGCCCCCAGCCACAAUACCCCCCUACUUUUUUUUUUUUUUUUUUUUUUUUUUAAGACAGAGUCUGUCUCUGUCACCUAGGCUAGAGUGCAGUGGUGCGAUCUCGGCUUGCUGCAACCUCUGCCUCCUGGGUUCAAGCAAUUCUCCUGUCUCAGCCUCCCAAGUAGCUGGGAUUACAGGCGUGUGCCACCACACCCGGCUAAUUUUUAAUAUUUUUGGUAGAGAUGGGGUUUCACCAUGUUGACCAGGCUGGUCUCGAACUCCUGACCUCAAGUGAUCCUCCCAAAGUACUGGGACUACAGUGCCCACCACCAUGCCUGGCUAAUUUUUGUAUUUUUAGUAGAGUUGGGGUUUCACCAUGUUGGCCAGGCUUGUCUUGAACUCCUGGGCUCAAGCUAUCCCCCUCACCCCAACCCCUGCCACGCCUCGGCCUCCCAAAGUGCUGGGGUUACAAGCGUGAGCCACUGCUCCCAGCCACAAUUCCCUUUCUAUGCAAAUCUCUUGCACGCAUUGUCUACGGCUCCUGGUUUCAACUCUCGCCUCCCACUCCCUUUUCCAUCUAGUGUUUCCGUUUCCACACCUCUUGCUAAGGCCACCAAUGACCACCUGGCUACUGUGAAUUCCGUGGCUAUUCCUCAGGUCUCAUCUUGCCUGACCACUCCUGCAACCUCAGACACUGUUGCCCACACCCACCUCCUUGAAACUCUUUUUGUUCUGUGAGUUUCUAGACUGACUUCUUCCCCGACCCUGGUUUCGGUUGCCAUCCCUAUGCAACGACUUUCAGGUUUACGAGAUCUCUAGACGUCAUCCUACUUCCUGGACGUCUCUGCCAGGACGUUCUCCAGACUCGCCAAACUCUACAUUUAUUUUAUUUUUAUUUAUUUAUUUUUUGAGACAAGAUCUCACUCUGUCGCCCAGGCUGGAUUGCAGUGGUGCAUUCUCUACUCGCUGCAGCCUCAAUCUCCUGGGCUCAAGUAAACCUCCCACCUCAGCCUCCCAUGUAGCUGGGAUUACAGGCAUAUACCACCACACCUAGCUAAUUUUUAAUUUUUUUGUAGAGAUGGGGUCUCACUAUGCUACCCAGGCUGGUCUCGGACUCCUAGGCUGAAGAUACUCUCCAGCCUUGGCCUCCCAAAGUGCUGGGAUUACAGGCGUGAGCCACCAUGCCCUGGCCUCACCAAACUCUAUACGUUCAAAAUGGAACCCAUCAUCUUUCCGUCUCCUAUUUUGGUAAAUGAUACCACUAUCCAAUCAGUGACCUAAGUUGAAACUCCCAGAUUCCAGCCUUCUUUUCUAGAUUCUCGCCUCUCUCACCCUGCACAUCCAAAUGGCUCCCGGGUCCUGCCCACUUUAACAGCCCCUGUCAGGUUCUGCCCCCACUCCCUGCCCCUGCCUAAUUUCUGGCCACCAUCAUUUCACUCCAAGAUGGCGGCAUAUCCUGUUAGGUGGUUCCCCUCCUUUAUCUUUCUCCUUGAAUCCCAGUUCCACAGGGGCUGCUGGAGAGGUUAAAAGCAUCUGACCAGGUACUUCCCCUUUCAUGACUCCCUACACCCAGAGUAAGGUUCAAAGUUUGUAAUUCCACAUACGGACUCUCCAUGACUUGGCCUUUGCUUGCUGGAGUCCUGGGCUUUACUGACACUUCCUGUCUCCCUUUAUGUUCCAUCCAGUCAUUUGAAUCUCUCGCCCCCACCAAGUCACCCUGUGCCUGGGUUCAGGCCCCUUUUCCCGCCUGAAUCUCCUGUGUUUUCUCCAAGGCACCAGUGCCUCUCCACACUGUUCACCUUAACCACUCCUCUGGGGUGUGUGUGUGUGUGUGUGUGUGUGUGUGUGUGUGUGUGUUUUGUCGUUGUUGUUUUUGAGACAGGGUCUCACUCUGUUGCCCCAGCUGGAGUGCAGUGGCACAAUCAUAGCUCACGGUAGCCUUUACCUCCUGGGCUCAAGCCAUCCUCCUGCUUCAGCCUCCUGAGUAGCUGGGACCACAGGUGUAUGCCAUCAUACCCAGUUAAUUUUUUUUUUUUUUGGUAGAGAUAGGGUCUUGCUAUGUAGCCCAGGUUGGUCUCGAACUCCUGGGCUCAAGCGAGCCUCCCACCUCGUCCUCUAGGAGUGAGCCAGUGAGACCCGGCCUCAAGCCCCUCUGAGAUACCCCUUCUAAGUCCUCCCUCUUUCCCUCCCUUGAGGGUCCCAGGAAGGAGAUGGGGACCCUUUCUCAUCUCUCCCCCAGGUGAGAAGAUUUGGCCCGGUUUUACUUUUGGUGGCGUGUUUUAUCCAAACAAUAGGUCUUUUUGUUUUCGUUUUUCCAAUAGGAAAUGGCAGUACGGAAUGCGCUCUUUCACAAGGCGCACGGGAGAUUCCGAAUGUGUCGGGUAUUGUGCGGGGUCCGGGCUCCCAGCACAGACCCAGGGGCACAUCUCUGCCACCUUCCCCUCCCAUCCCCAGCCAUGGCGUGCGGAAAGUGCUCAUGCCUGCUUCCUAGAUUGGGCGCUGGCUUUGGCCUCACAGGCUGUCUUCCGAAUCCCCAGGGAGUGGGCAAGUGACCACCCCGCCAUCACCAAGCUCAGCUUACAACCCCAUCUUCCCUCUAAGCUCCAUCCGGGAGAGCGAGAUCCAGCCAAGGCCGCCCCGAGGGGGAGCUCUGCAGGGAGGUGGAGGCGCUGGGAACAAGGAGGCUCCAGCGAGUGCAAAACGAAAGGCUUUUAUUGAAAAAUAUCAAGUGCCCCUUCCAGGGCUGCCGGUCCCUGCCCAGCGCGAGCAUGGGGGCAGCGGCCCGAUGGGGCUCGACGGGGUGGUCAAGUAUUGGCGGUCACCCAGGCCCCGUGCUCCAGAAGGGUGAGGUUUCACAGUCCAUGCAGGUUGGUCCCUGGGCCCCGAAGUCGACUGCCCGGCCCGCAAAGCCGUGGCUGCUGGGGAAGCUGCCCCAGUCCAGCGCGGGGGCUUCCUGGCUUCUGGGGGUGGGCUGGCCUCCGAGGCAAGGCUGCACGCUGGAUGGCCUGGUGCGCGCUCCAGCUCGCGGUGGUGGUGGUGGUGUUGGUGGUGGUGGUGGUGGUGGGGUCUCCCUGCGUCUGUCCCUUAGACGUAGUCCUUGCGGUCGUAGCCUGUGCCCAGGCUGGCUCCCGGGCCGGUGGAGCGCGGCGCGGAGUAGACGACCUUGGUGGCCGUGUACUUCUUCUCGCGUGGGGGACACGAGCAGCAGAGCAGCGCGCCCCCCAGCAGCUGCAGCGCCGCGGCCGCCCAGCCCACGUACAGGCCCGCGCCCAUCUCGCGCUUCUGCGCCUCGGGCACCACGGGGUUGUAGAAGUCCCGGAUAAUGGUGUUGGCCGACCAGGACACCGGCACGAGGGUGAGCAGGGCGGCGAGAAGGAACAGCACGCCUGCCACGAUGGUGAUCUUGGCCUUGGCCGUGUCGUCCUGCACGCAGUUGGUGCACUGGGCGCCCACCAGCGCCACUAGCAGCCCGAAGGCGGCCAGCAGGAUGGCCACCACGAUGAGGGCGCGGGCCGCCUGAAGGUCCUGUGGCAGUGCCAGCAGCGAGUCGUACACCUUGCACUGCAUCUGGCCGGUGCUCUGCACCACGCAGUUCAUCCACAGGCCCUCCCAGAUGUUCUGCGACGUGAUGAUGUUGCUGCCGAUGAAGGCCGACACGCGCCACAUGGGCAACGCGCAGCACACGAUGGUGCCCAGCCAGCCCAGCACGGCCAGCGCGGUGCCCGUGAUCUCCAGGCCCAUGGACAUGGCUGCCGCGGCAAGGCCCGCUCCACCGGGUGGCUCCGGGUGCGGGGAGACGAGGGGCCGGGGCCGCUGGGCCUGGCGGGAGCUGCGGCGCCCCGACGGACGGACGGACGGACGGACUGACUCACCGACGGCGCGCGCUAACGGCUCGGCUCCAUACGCUCUCGCCGCGGCUGCGCCUGCACCUGCCUGUGGCUUUGUGGGCGGGCGGCGGCGACUGGGCUGGCCCUGGGCUGGGGCCGGUGCGUCUUAGCUAAGUGCCCAGCGCUCCGGUGGGGGCGGUAGGGGCGGAGCCGCGCUCUCCAGGGCCUAAGGACAGUGACGUGGCCCCUGCCUCCCACCUUCACCGAGCGUCCUGGGAGGAAGGACUUGGCCCUGCGCGGCCCACAACGCCGGGGUAGGGGGGUUGCCAAGGAAGGGCGGGACCUGACCCAGCCCCCGCCCCUCGGUCCUUGUCCCUCUCUGCUCGGGAAUGAAUUCUCCGGGGCAAAACCGAGGACGGGAUGCGUCAGGGGCUUGGGGUGCAAAUCCCAAAGAAUUUGACACGGCUUCUCUCUCCUCACCACUUUGGGCGCUUUUGGCACGUGCCGCGUGGGGAUGGGGGCGCUGCCAAUUACCCCGGAACGGCGGGGCGGGGAGGACCAGGGUGGGCGUGGCCGCGGCUGUUUGCAGGAGCCGCGCACCUGCUGCUCUGCCCCUCCCGUACACACGUCGCACAGGCUCAGCCUGAGUCCGGGCGGUGGGGUUGUCCAGCCCAGGAAUUGCUGGGCCCAGAAGCCAGGGACUGCCUGCGCAAAGGUACCCAAAAGAUGCCCUUAAGCCUAACUAAGCUCAAAUUCCUCUCCAGCUCUCCCUCCAGUUCCCAUCGCUGGCCGUGAGCCUGCAUGCCUUUAGCUAAGCUGCUCUCCCCUCCCAGAAGUCCCCCUCCUCCCAUUGAGUCCCCUCCCCUCUCCGAGCCCUGUCCUCCCUCCCUUUGAGCCUGAGUCAGGGCUGAGGCCCACCUUAAUGAAAUGGUGGUGAAAGAGGUUCGAUCUCCGCAAAAGUGGGAAAUCGGGCAGGACCGAGCACCGUGGUGGCUGACUCCUGUAAUCCUCGCACUUUGGGAGGCUGAGAAGGGAGGAUUGCUUGAGACCAGGAGUUCGACACCAGCCUGGGCAAAAUAGUGAGACCCCGUCUCUACAAAAAAUUAAAAAACUAGCCAGGUGUGGUGGCGUGUGCCUAUAGUCCCAACUACUCCGGAGGCUCAGGCAGGAAAUUACUUGAGCCCAGGAGUUCGAGGCUGCAGUGAGCUAUGAUCGCACCACUGCACUCCAGCCUGGGCAUCAGAGCAGACCCUGUUUAAAAAAAAAAAAAAAAAAAAAAAAAAAGGUUGGGAAGUCAGAAAUGCUACACUCAAAGCCCUGGCUGUCACACCUGGACGAUCGUUCCCCCUUCUUCACCAAGCUCAGAGCCCUUCAGAUUUGGCCUUGGAGGUUCAGCCUGGGCUGUUCCUAACCCCAUCCCCUCUCUUCCCCUCAGAGCAGCCCUUGCAUACCACAUGCCCCUGCCUCAGAGUCCCUGCACUUACUGUCCCCUGUACAUGGAACAUGCCUGCAGACAUCCACAUAGCUUACUCCUAACUGCCUUCAGCUUUUUGCUCUCAGUGAGUCUUUCCCUGACCACCCUAUUUAAAACUGCAGCUUCUGGCUGGGUACGGUGGCUCACGCCUGUAAUCCCAGCACUUUGGGAGGCUGAGGCGGGUGGAUCACUUGAGGUAAGGAGUUCCAGACCAGCCUGGCCAACGUGGCGAAAUCCCGUCUCUACUAAAAAUGCAAAAAUUAGCCAGGCGUGGUGGUACACGCCUGUAAUACCAGCUACUCGGGAGGCUGAGGCAAGAGAAUUGCUUGAACCCAGGAGGUGGAGGUUGCAGUGAGCUGAGAUCACACCCCUGCACUCCAACCUGGGUGACAAAGCGAGACUCUUUGUCUCAAAAUAAAAUAAAUAAAAUAAAAUAAAAUAAAAUUGCAGUUUCUUACCCCACAAUGCCUGCCCCCCUUUAAUACUUUAUAUUCUGCUUAGCAUGUAACACCAUCGGACAAUAUUCUAUAUUUUUCUUAUUUAUGUUUCAUUGUACUUAAAAAAAUUUUAAAUUGGCAAUGAUCGUACCUACGCGUGGCACACCCAGUGAUGUUUUAAUACAUAGAAUGUAUAGUAAUCAUAUCAGGGUAAUUGGCAUAUUCAUCAUCUCAAACUUUUAUUUCUUUGUGCUGGGAACGUUCAAUAACUUAUUUAUUUAUUUAUUUUAGAGACAGUGUCUUGCUCUGUCACCCAGGCUGGAGUGCAGUGGUACUAUCAUAGCUCACUGCAGCCUUGAAUUCUUGGGCUUAAGCAAUCCUCUAGCUAUAGCCUCCCAAGUAGCUGGGACUACAGGCAUAUACCACCAAGCCCACCUAAUUGUUUCAUUUUUUUUUGUAGAGAUGGGGUCUCACUGUGUUGCCCAGGCUAGUCUUGAACUCCUGGUCUCAAGCAAUCCCCCAACCUUGGCAUCCCGAAGUGCUAGGAUUACAGGUGUGAGCAGCAGUGCCCAGCCUAUUUUUUUUUUUAAACGAAAUCUCGCUCUUUUGACCAGGCUGGAGUGCAGUGGUGCAAUUUCGGCUCACUGCAACCUCCACCUCCUGGGUUCAAGCAAUUCUUCUGCCUCAGCCUCCCAAGUAGCUGGGACUACGGGCACGUGCCACCACGCCCAGCUAAUUUUUGUAUUUUUAGUAGAGAUGGGGUUUCACCAUAUUGGCCAGGUGGUCUCGAACUCCUGACCUCAUGAUCUGCCCGCCUUGGCCUCCCAAAGUGCUGGGAUUACAGGCAUGAGCCAUGGCACCCAGCCAAUUUUUAAAUUGUUUCUUUCUUUCUGUUCCAGUAUGUCAGCUCCAUUGGGACAUCUGUAAUGUCCCAGAACAGGCAAGAAUUUUGCUGGUUUUAUUCACUGCUGCAUUCCUAUUGCCUAGAAUGGUGUUGGGUACUCAACAGAGAGUCGAUUUAGUGACUUGAAUGAAGGGAAGACUUUCUCAUGUUCCUUCAACCUUGCCUACCCAGGCUUUCCUACUGGCAUAAAUGACUGAUAAAGGGAUACUGCUGUGCUGAGUCAAGGGGGCUUGGUCAUCUUGUAGGAGUCAAGGGCUCUUCCAGAGAGAAGAGAGACCCCAUUGAGCUGGGCCUUGGGGUUUUUUGGGGUUGCCUCCAUAUCUCAAAUCACAGGCAUGCAGCCUGUGCCCUCUUCUGUAAAUGCCUAAGCCUUGGAAUGAUAGAAGAGCAAGAAACAUGGCUGGGUGCAGUGGCUCACACCUGUAAUCCCAGCACUUUGGGAAGCUGAGGCGGGUGGAUCACCUGAGGUCAGGAGUUCGAGACCAGCCUGGCCAGCAUGGUGAAACCCCGUCUCUACUAAAAAUACAAAAAUUAGCUGGGCGUGGUGGCAUGCACCUGCAGUGCCAGCUACUCGGGAGGCUGAGGCAUGAGAAUCGCUUGAACCCAGGAGGCGGUGGUUGCAGUGAGCUGAGAUCGUACCACUGCACUCCAGCCUGGGCGACAGGGCGAGACUCCAUUUCAAAAAAAUAAAAAAAAAGAAAAGAAGAAGAAGAGUAAGAAACAGUGUCAGGGGCUCAUGGAAACCAGGGUUCUACUUCUUUCAGGAGCAAAGGUCUUGGGCUGCACCUGUUGGGCAGGGCCUGGGCAGAUCUGGGAGUGCCAGUCCAGAGGGCCCAGCUGGUGCUGGGUGGAGCUGUUCUAGAGGAAGUUCAUAUAACUCAAGUCCUCCAGUGGACUACUGGCUGCUACAGUUUCCUGGUGAGUGGGGGUGGCUCUGGGCCAGAAGAAAAGUAGACCCUCCAGGUGGUGUGGCUGGGCUUAGACUAGGGGUUGAGGCCCAGAGUGGUCCCCACUGCACUGCCAGUUGUGCCUGGAUUGGGCACUGUGAGCCCUACGCCUGCUGGCCUUGAGGCUGGUGAAAGUCACGUCGCCUCUCUUAGCCUCAGUUUCCUCCUCUAUAAAAUUAGGGAAAUGGUGUCUGCAUGACUCACUUCCAGGGUUAUGGUAAGAAUAGAGGCGAUGUUAAGUAUGCUAUAAAAGCAGAAAACAGCCAGGCAGGGCAUGUAUAUGUCCAGAGAAAUUGUACAGAGAAAAGGUAGAUCUGAACUUGAGCCUGGCUUUGCUCUCCUGGGUCACGAGCGCUUGAGCCAGUCCUUUUACCACCUUGAGCCUCAGUUUCCCCAUCUGUGAGACAAGAGUUGUCCUGAGUUGCUUGGGUUUGGGGCUUGUCCCUGAGCCUGGGGGAGGUGGACCUGCUGGGCAGGGCUGCACUGAGAUGAGGCCAGCAGGACAGAGCUUCAUGCCCAGAGGCCAAACUUCAGGGACUUUGCAAAUAAGACUUUGCCUCUGGGCAAACACAGCUCCAAUCAGCUUUUUGCUCAAUACCUACCAUGAUUCCUACAACUCAAUAAUAAAAAGACAAAUAAACCAAUUAAAAAAUGGCCAAAGAAACUGAGCAGACAUUUAGAAUAGAGAAAGAAUGUAUAAAAAUGGCCAAUAAAUGUGACUAGGGGGCGGUAUCUCACGGCUGUGAUCUCGGCACUUUGUGAGGCCAAGGCAGGAGGAUCGCUUGAGGCCAGGAGUUUAAGACCAGCCUGGACAACAUAGCGAGACCUUGUCUCUACUUAAAAAAAAAAAAAAUUAGCCAGGGAUGGUGGUGUACACCUGUAGUUCCCAGCUACUUGGGAGGCUGAGGUGGGAGAAUUGCUUGAGCCCAGGAGUUUGAGGCUGCAGUGAGCUAUGACUGUGUUACUGCACUCCAAUCUGGGCAAGGGAGCAAGAUGUGUCUCAAAAAAAAAAAAAUCCAAUAAAUACAUGAAAAGAUGCUCAACAUCAUUGGUCAUUAGAGAAAUGCAAAUCAAAGCCACAAAGAGAUACCACUUUGCACCCACUAGGGAGGCAAUAAUCAAAUAACAAAUGUUGGUGAGGAUGUGGAGAAAUUGACACCCUGAUACAUUGCUGGUGGCAAUGUAAGUGGGGCAUCUGCUGUGGAAAACAAUCUGGUGGUCCUUCAGAAGAUUACAUUGCUGACUCAUGUUACCAUAUGACUCAGCAAUUUUCGUCUAGGAAUACCCAAGAGACACAAAAGCAUAUGAGCAGGUCAGACAAAAAAAACUUGUACCUGAAUGUUUGUAGCAACAUUGUGCAUAAUAGCCAAAAAGUGGAAACAUCCUAAAUGUUCAUCAACUGAUGAAUGGGUAAAUAAAAUGUGAUCUAGCCAUACAAAGUAAUAUUAUGCAGCCAUUAAAAAGGAAUAAAGUACUGAUACAUGUUGCAACAUGAAGGAACCUUGAAGACAUUGCAGUAAGUGAAAGAGGCAGGACCAUCUAUUGUAUGAUUUCAUUUAUUUA